rnacentral:misc_RNA from 1 species
GGAAAAUUAGUUAGUGGAAAAAUUUUUCCUGGUUGAAGGGUAAACUAGUCAUUAUUGGACUUUUACAAACUCAUAAAAGGGGAAAAGAAAAACCUGCAAGAGAAAUACAUAGGCAUAUACAUUGAUUGCCACUUGGCCAUUCCCAUUGCCACCGGCUGCCAUCAUUCAGCAUUGACUGCUAAAAUUUACAUUUUCUCUGAUAUUUUCUUUUCUAUUCAACAACAUUUGGUUAAAGUGGAGUUCUU